rnacentral:rRNA from 2 species
UAGGGAAUAUUGGACAAUGGGCGAAAGCCUGAUCCAGCAACGCCGCGUGCACGAUGACGGCCUUCGGGUUGUAAAGUGCUUUUAGGAGAGAUGAGAAAGGACAGUAUCUCCUGAAUAAGCCUCGGCGAACUACGUGCCAGCAGCCGCGGUAAAACGUAGGAGGCGAGCGUUAUCCGGAUUUAUUGGGCGUAAAGCGCGUGCAGGCGGUUUGGAAAGUUGGAUGUGAAAUCUCCCGGCUCAACUGGGAGGGGACGUUCAAUACUGUCGGACGUGAGGACGAGAGAGGGAGGUGGAAUUCCCGGUGUAGUGGUGAAAUGCGUAGAUAUCGGGAGGAACACCAGUGGCGAAAGCGGCCUCCUGGAUCGUUCCUGACGCUCAGACGCGAAAGCUAGGGGAGCGAACGG